rnacentral:rRNA from 1 species
UGGGCAACCUGCCCCUGACACUGGGAUAACCCCGGGAAACCGGAGCUAAUACCGGAUACUCUCGGCCGAUCACAUGGCUGGCCGAGGAAAGGUCCGCCGGUCAGGGAUGGGCCCGCGGCCUAUCAGCUUGUUGGCGAGGUAACGGCUCACCAAGGCGACGACGGGUAGCUGGUCUGAGAGGACGACCAGCCACACUGGAACUGAGAUACGGUCCAGACUCCUACGGGAGGCA